GACUGGUGACAGAGUGAGGGAGGGGGUGACUAGUGACAGAAGAAGGGAGGGAGUAGUGACAGAAGGAGGGAGGGAGUAGUGACAGAGGGAGGUGGUGACUAGUGACAGUCACCCCCUCUCUCACUCUGUCACUAGUCACCCCCUCUCUCACUCUGUCACUAGUCAC